GUUUCCAUAAACGUUUACGUCUAUGCAAGAUUUUAAUCUGAACUGAUAAACAUAUAAAGAUAAGCUUCUCAAGGUUUGGCUAAUGCCAACCAGGAGCUAUUUUGAGACAUUAGUAUCACUAUUGACUAUACAGUCUGCCAGAGUCUACGGGAUGUGAGUUUCAGAGAUGAGAAUAUGCGGAUGUUCCUGCUAUGCUACUGAAUGCUAGUCUCCUCCAUACUGCCAUCAGUUGCUGG
rnacentral:misc_RNA from 1 species